AACCUGGUUGAUCCUGCCAGUAGUCAUACGCUCGUCUCAAAGAUUAAGCCAUGCAUGUGUAAGUUCAAUGAUUUGACCAAAAAACUGCGAAUGGCUCAUUAUAUCAGUUAUAGUUUAUUUGAUAGUCCCUUACUACUUGGAUACCCGUAGUAAUUCUAGAGCUAAUACAUGCGUAAACACUCGACCUUUGGAAGAGUGGUAUUUAUUAGAUUGAAACCAACCCGUUUCGGCGGUGUCCUGGUGAUUCAUAAUAACUUUUCGGAUUGCAUUGCAACAUUUCAUUCAAGUUUCUGCCCUAUCAGCUUUGACGGUAGUGUAUUGGACUACCGUGGCUUCAACGGGUAACGGAGGAUUAGGGUUUGAUUCCGGAGAGGGA
rnacentral:rRNA from 1 species